rnacentral:rRNA from 1 species
AGCGAACGCUGGCGGCAUGCUUAACACAUGCAAGUCGCGCGGGUGGUUUCGGCCAUCAGCGGCGGACGGGUGAGUAUCGCGUAGGAAUGUAUCCCGAGGUGGGGGACAACCCUGGGAAACUGGGGCUAAUACCGCAUGGGGCCUGUGGGUCAAAGCCUUAGGGCGCCUUGGGAGCAGCCUGCGUCCGAUUAGGUAGUUGGUGGGGUAAAGGCCUACCAAGCCUGCGAUCGGUAGCUGGUCUGAGAGGACGAUCAGCCACACCGGGACUGAGACACGGCCCAGACUCCUACGCGAGGGAGGAGUGGGGAAUAUUGGACAAUGGGCGCAAGCCUGAUCCAGCAAUGCCGCGUGGGUGAAGAAGGUCUUCGGAUUGGAAAGCCCUUUCGGCGGGGACGAUGAUGACGGUACCCGCAGAAGAAGCCCCGGCUAACUUCGUG